rnacentral:rRNA from 1 species
GGGGAAUCUUGCACAAUGGGGGCAACCCUGAUGCAGCGACGCCGCGUGAGCGAUGAAGCCCUUCGGGGCGUAAAGCUCUUUCGACCGGAACGAUAAUGACGGUACCGGGAGAAGAAGCUGCGGCUAACUACGUGCCAGCAGCCGCGGUAAUACGUAGGCAGCAAGCGUUGUUCGGAGUUACUGGGCGUAAAGAGUGCGUAGGCGGUUUUCUAAGUUCGGUGUGAAAUCUCCCGGCUUAACUGGGAGGGUGCGCCGAAGACUGGGAAGCUGGAGUGUGGGAAAGGCAGGCGGAAUUCCUGGUGUAGCGGUGAAAUGCGUAGAUAUCAGGAGGAACACCGGCGGCGUAGACGGCUUGCUAGACCAUAACUGACACUGAGGCACGAAAGCGUGGGUAGCAAACA